CGGCAACAGCUCAAAUUUGAAAUCUGGCCCUCGGGUCCGAAUUGUAAUUUGUAGAGGAUGCUUUUGGUGAGGUACCUUCCGAGUUCCUUGGAACAGGUCAUCAUAGAGGGUGAGAAUCCCGUAUGUGGCUGCUUGUCUUCGCCGUGUAAAGCCCCUUCGA
rnacentral:rRNA from 1 species